rnacentral:rRNA from 1 species
CAAUACAUAGUGGCGCACGGGUGAGUAACGCGUGGGAAUAUGCCUUUUAGUGGGGGAUAACUCCGGGAAACUGGAGCUAAUACCGCAUACGCCCUUCGGGGGAAAGAUUUAUCGCUAAAAGAUUAGCCCGCGUGAGAUUAGGUAGUUGGUGGGGUAAUGGCCUACCAAGCCUACGAUCUCUAGCUGGUCUGAGAGGACGACCAGCCACACUGGAACUGAGACACGGUCCAG